rnacentral:lncRNA from 1 species
UAAAUUUUCUUCAAAAAUACUUUUUGAUCUAGAACUAUUUUUAAAAUUAAAACGAUCUAGUUAAAAUAUUAGAACUGCCAUAAGGCUAAUUAUUGGAGCGGCAGAUAAACACAUUACUUUUGCGGAUCAAAAGGAGCUGGAUGGCAUGAAGUUUUGUUGUUGGAUUAAUAUUAGAACUGCCUCCAAUUCUAAUGUGUUUCUAUUAUAUAUAUGGUCAUGAAAAUAUAUGAAAAGGCAUAACAUAUUAUUUGAUUAAAAUAUAUGAAAUAAUCUAAAUUUGUAAAUCUCACUCUCCUUUGUUUAAACUUGAAAAGUAAUUUGUUUUUGUUAUAAAUGUCCUUCAAUGUUUUGAUUAUUUAUUUGUAAUUUUUAAAAAAGAAGGUUAUUUUUUUGUGGUUUAACUUAGGUGUCAACCCAAUGUUUGAAUGGAGUUGAACAAUUAUUUAAAAUACUCAGAUUGGGUUUGAAUUAGGUUUUUUCCAACUCAAGUUCUAUUUAUGGGUUGGACUCAUAUUAAUGUUCUAACAAUCCAAACCUAAUUCAAAUAUAUGUUUUUAUAAUAUUUAUUAUGUAUAUUAACCUAUAUAAUAAUAUUCAUUUUUUUUUAAUUUUGAAGAAAAAUAUCAAAUUAUUUUAUAUUGUAUACUUUUUUUUAGAAAGAUAUAUAAAUUUAUUUUUACCUUUUUUUUUGUUAUUAUCUUGAAAAUUUGUUCUAUUUAUUUUAAAAAAAAUUAAUAUAAAUAUAUUUAAGAAACAUUAUAGAUAGAUUUUAAAUUAUGCAACUCAGUCAACCAACCAACCCAAACUUGGAGAAAUGAUAUUAGGUAAAGUUUAGGUUGAGUAUUUCAUGUUAGAGGUUAAAUUGAACUUCGAUUUACCGUUUCUUAAUUUAAGUUGCGAUUGGAUUAGUCAUCAAUUCAUCCAAGUUGCAACAUCAUUGUUUUUAAAAGAAAAAUAUUACGAUGUUUUUUUUAAUUAAAAAUUUGUAUUUUUUAGGCUAAAAGAAUAUGAAAGGUUAGAUUUACAAAUUGAGGAUUAUUUCAAAGUCAAAUAACCCUAUAUAUAUAUUAAAAAUAACAUUGUAUAUUAAUUAAUAAGAGAUUAUGGUAAUAAUAUUUGUUUUCAUUAUUUAUCUUUUUAACUUGGAAUAGAAUAGUGAUGAUAAAUCAUCUUCGAACUUUUUCCCAUUACUCAUCUCUACUAAUUGAAUAGAUAAUUUUUUUUUAAAAAAUAAAAUAAAAUUGAAUCUAUAUAAGUUAUAUAACUUCCUUUAUAUUAGAUAAGAUAGAAAUGAAAGGAAUUUUCUUUUACAAUUUUUAUUCCCCUAUAUAACUUACAUAUAUGACAAAGGGGAAAAACAACAGCUCAUGCAUGAUUGUGUAUUUGAAGUUUUUACAUGUAACGUACCCUAUAUACAUACAUACUAAUAUUUUUUCAAAAACAAGAAAAACACUUCCAAUUUUUAUCUUUCUGUCCUUUUCAAACUAGGAAAAACCUUGAUUAUGUUAGCAGGACAUUCUAUUCAAGGCAAUGUAAGUAACGAUCAUAUGUACAGCUAACGAGUUACAUGAAUAUAAAAUGGAUGUAGAAAAAGAAAUUACCAUUUUGAACCAACUCUCGAGCACUAACGCAAGAGGCAAAGAGAAGGACUGAAAUGAAGAGAAAGCAUACAAGGAAAGCCCUCAUGGUGAUGGGAGAUUGGAGUAGGGUGUGAUAAGCUUUCUCCCCCGCUACCCUUAUUUAUAAGGGAGAAUUACCCUUAAGGGUAGGGUAAAAUUAUGAUAAUUCCUCCAAAUGCCUUAUUUUGUUUAAAUGUCAAUACUACCCUUAAUAAGUGAAAAGCAACAGCAAAGUGAAAAGCAACAGAAAAUAAAAAAGAGUCUUCUUUAACCUACCUGGAACUUGUCGGUGUUGUAGAAGAAAAAAGGGAAAGGAAAAAGGUUCAGCACUUCAGGUCAUUAUCUGCAACCGUUUACACAAAACUUGUUUUUUUUUUUUUGUGAAACUAGUAAGAAAUCCAUUAAAGGUCAGUUUUUUUUUUAAAUACAAAAAAAAAAAGUCAGUUUAUGGAAAAAUAAAUAAAUAAUUUUAAAAUCAGAUUGAAUGAAGGAAAAGUUAAUAAUUUUAACAAUGUAGAUGUAAGAUAUUAGAUCUGAAAUAUUGAAGGAGGUUUUGAGAAAGAAAUUACAUUUUUUGUAUAAAAUGUUAUUUAAAUUUAUUAUUUUGAAUUUUUUUUAUAUUAUUUUGGUCAUAGAAGAUGUGUUUUUAUUUUUAAUUUAUUUUCCUAGUUGUUUGAUAUGAUUAUUAUUGAUUUCCAUUGAAAAUGUUUGCACUUUAAUUUUGUUGUUGAGACUUGUUUGACAUGGCAGAAGAAAAAAUUUUCUCAGUUGUUUCUUGGUUGUUUGGAACCACUUUAUUUGGGUAUUUAUGAACAUGUUUGAAUUUUUGUUGAAAACUCAAAAUAGUAAUCAAUUGAGACAUAUUUUGUAUAAUAAAGAACAAUAUUUGUUAUAUAUUAGACAUAUAUAUGCCAAAAAAACCCACAACUGCCCAGUUUCAUAAGAAAUUUGAAAUUUUAAAAAUUUUAUCUUAUCGUAAUGUAUCGUAAUGUUACUGUAUUUAUAUUGUAAUUGUAGUGUAUUUUUAUUGUACAUUUAUAUUUUUAUAUAAAAAAACCCACGAUUGCCCAGUUUCAUACAAAAUUUGAAAUUUUGAAAAUUUUACGUUAUCAUAAUGUAUUGUAAUGUUAUUGUAUUUAUAUUGUAAUUGUAGUGUAUUUUUAUUGUACAUUUAUAUUUUUAUAUAAAAAAUUAAUUUUAUAGAUUUUUUUAUACAUUUGGAUUACCAUCAACAACUUUAUGUAUUGAAAUUACAAUAAUAUAUUUUUGUUGUCUUUUUAUAAUUUUGGCUUGUAAUGAUGCUUUAUGAUAGGAAUACAAAAUGAUAACCUAGAAACGUUAAUUCAGUAAAAAGCAAAUUCCAUAUUUUGUCAUUUUGGCAUAUUAUAAUAUAUCGUAAUAUUAAUAUAUUUUUAUUAUAACUAUAUUGCAUUUGUAUUGUACUUAUAUUUUAUAAUUGUCAGGAAAGAUGUACUUUUCAAUUGGUAAAUGAAUUUGAGAAAUUCAAGGUAAAUUGGUUUAAUAAAAAUAUGAGGUCUUCAUAAGAAUUAUCAAAUCUAUCCAUCCUUUUUAGUAAUUUUUUUUCCCAACUUACCCUUAAGGGUAUAAUGGCAUUCAUAUGUGUGAAGGGCAAAGUGUCCCACAAAAAAGGGGAAGCAAGGAUGAGUCCCCGCUACCCCACUAUCUCAAUUAUCACAAAACAUAUGGUACCGGCCUCUCCUGCAUAUCUUCUGAUCCGGAACCAACUUUUCUCAUUCACAUGGGUUCACCGCCCAACUUUCUCACUCCACUCAAUUAUUGCACUCCACGAUAGAAUUUUCUCUCAUUAUCAUGAUAAUAUUCAUGGAUUGCGACUGGCUGCUGCCAGAAUUCUAUGGAGGAAAAGAAUACAAGUAAUUUCUUAAUUUUUUUAAAGUUUCUGAUUUCCAUUUUCAGAAAUGGUUUUUAUAUUAAAAAUAUUGGUGAAUUGAAAUUACGUAUAUCAAUUUUUCUUUUUAAAGUGUUUAAAAGUUUAUUUUACAAUGAUUUUAAGAAACGUUUUUAUCUCUUUUAACACUUAAAAGAUAAUUUCGUUUUAAGUGUUAGAAAUACUAAAAACGUUUUCUAUCAUUACUAUCAAAUGUACUCUUUGUUUUUAAAAAAAUUAUUUAUCAACUAUUGCUAUAAAAAACACUAUUAAUGAUUUUUUUAAUUAUUUAAAAGUGUUUUUUAAAUUUCAAAUACCUAAUUUUUCUUCAAAAAUAUUUUUUGAUAUAGAACUAUUUUUCAAGACACUACUAAUGAUUUUUUAAUUAUCUAAAAGUGUUUUCUAAAUUUUAAAUACCUAUUUUUUUGAAAAAAAUAAAAUAAUUUUUGAUGUAGAACUGUUUUUAAAAAACCAUCUAGUUAAAAGCAUAAAUAGGACACUGCCAUACUGCUAAUUAUUAGAGCGGCAGAUAAACACAUUACUUUUGCGGACCAAAAGGAGCUGGAUGACAUCUAUAAAGUUUUGUUGUUGGAUUAAUAUUAGAACGGCCUCCAAUUCUAAUGUGUUCAUAUCUAUAUAUUGUUAUUCUUGAAUUAUCACAAAUGUAUGGUCAAAUAAUUAUGUAUAAUAAAUAAACGAAAAAGUAAGUAAAUAUUGAAUCUUACAAACGGUUGAUCGAGGCUAGAGUUUGACUCUAUGUCCUUAAGACGAAUUUGCCCUGUACUGGUGCUUAUGAUUUGUUGACAAUCAUUUCCGAGGAUACAAUGAUCACUUUCUUGUGAUACUAGCACUUCAAAUCACAAGAAACAACGAAUUACUUGAUGACUUGAAUUCUCUUGAAUACCAAGCACUUGGAAGAAAGGAGAAGAAGUGGAGAGAAUUGAUGAUGGAAUGAAUGAAAAAUGCCAUGGGGGGCCUAUUUAUAGGUUUUCUGGUGACUCUUAAAAGAGAUGUGUCUUAAAUACUUGAUAUAUCCUUUGACACAAGUUGUGUCUAUUAGGAAGAGUUGAGUCUAAUUGAAAUGGUAUGUCUUAAUUUUCAUUCACCUAUAAAUAUCCCAACAUAUAUUAUGGUCAUCGUCAUGUAUCUGCAUUUUCGUAAAUAAAUAAAUGAAAAGGUUUAACAUAUUAUUUUAUUAAAAUACAUAAAAUAAUCUAAAUGUGUAAAUUUCACUCUCCUCGUGUUUAAACUUGAAAGUAAUCUGUUUUGUUAUAAAUGUCCUUUAAUAUUUUGAUUAUUUAUUUGUAAGUUUUAAAAAAGAAGAUUAUUUUUUAGUGGUCUAACUUAGGUGCUAACUCGAUGUUUGAAUGGUCUUGAACAAUCAUUUGCAAUACUUGGAUUGAGUUUGGAUUAGGUUUUUUCCAAACCAAGUUCAAUUUAUGAGCUGACUCGGAUUGAGGUUCAAACAAUCCAAGCCUAAUUCAAAUCUAUGUUUUUAUAAUAUUUAUUAUGUAUACUAUCCUAUAUAAUAAUAUUUAUUUUCUUUUUAAAUUUUUAAGAAAAAAAAAAAUCAAAUUAUGUUAUAUUGUAUAUAUUUUUUAUUAUUUUUUAGAAAGAUAUAUAAACUUAUUUUUACUUUUUUUUUUUGUUAUUAUCUUGCAAUUUUGUUCUAUUUAUUAUUUAAAUUUUAAUAUAAAUAUAAUUUUUUUUUAAAGAAAUAUUAUAGAUAUAUUUUAAAUUAUAUAACUUAGUCAACCCAACCAACCUGAACUUGGAGAAAUGAUAUUAGGUUAAGUUUGGGUUGAGUAUUCAUGUCAUAGGUUAAGUUGAACUUGGAUUUGUUAUUUCUUAAUUUGAGUUGGGAUUGGAUUAGUCAUCAACUCACUCAAGUUGCAACCUUAUUGUUCUUAAAAGAAAAAAGCAAAGAUAGUUUUUUUUUAAUAAAAAAUUUGUAUUUUUUUAAGCUAAAAGAAUGUGGAAGGUUAGAUUUACAAAUUGAGG